rnacentral:rRNA from 1 species
AUUGAACGCUGGCGGCAGGCCUAACACAUGCAAGUCGAACGGUAACAGGAAGAAGCUUGCUUCUUUGCUGACGAGUGGCGGACGGGUGAGUAAUGUCUGGGAAACUGCCUGAUGGAGGGGGAUAACUACUGGAAACGGUAGCUAAUACCGCAUAAUGUCGCAAGACCAAAGAGGGGGACCUUCGGUCCUCUUGCCAUCGGAUGUGCCCAGAUGGGAUUAGCUAGUAGGUGGGGUAACGGCUCACCUAGGCGACGAUCCCUACCUGGUCUGAGAGGAUGACCAGCGACACUGGAACUGAGACACGGUCCAGAGUCCUACGGGAGGCAGCAGUGGGGAAUAGUGCACAAUGGGCGGAAGCCUGAUGCAGCUAUGCCGCGUGUAUGAAGAAGGCCUUCGGGUUGUAAAGUACUUUCAGCGGGGAGGAAGGGAGUAAAGUUAAUACCUUGGCUCAUUGACGUUACCCGCAGAAGAAGCACCGGCUAACUCCGUG